CUCAUGGUCAUAGAGGAAAUCACAAUGAGAAUUAGAAAAUAUUUUUAGUUGAAUGAAAAAUAAUAUGCUACUUUCAAAAGUUGCAUGUUGCUAUUAAAAUAUGCUUAUAUGGAAAAGUGCACCCUUAAAAGUGCAUAGACUGCACAUGUAUCCCUGAACUGAUAAGCCUAAGAAUAAACUUGCCAGUUAAAAAUGCCAAUUUGAAUAAAAUAUAUCUAUUUCAAUUAUAUAAAAUGAGAUGUAGAAAGUUGAAAAUUAAUGGUUAGAAGAUAUGUAUGAAAACAAAAGGAAAAUAUAAAAUCAAAAUGUGUGUAGCUAUAUUAACACAUGCGUAUACAUGUAUAUAUACAUGUGUAUACAUGUAUAUAUACACACAUGCG
rnacentral:lncRNA from 1 species